rnacentral:lncRNA from 1 species
ACGGGCCCCGGAGAGCCAUCCAAUGAAGGCAGGCGGCGGUUGCCUUCCCAGUGGUGGAUGUUGCUUUCAGCCCCCUCAGCGCUGAUGCGAACUUGUCCCUCGAGGCUUCGGGUGUUCCGUCCCUGUCACUCUCCCCUGCUCAGGUUGCAGAGUCGCGGGGAGAGCGCUUCGGAGAACCCGAAAGGAGGCAGAGAUGGCUGUCCAUGAACACAGGAGGAAGCAGUGAUCUUCAGGCUCUGAGUCACACACUGGGAGGAGGGGCUUUGUCUCCUGUGGCUGAUCUGAGCAGGCUCCCCGCUGCUGCCCUUCCGUCUUUUUUCCUUGAUGGAAUCUUGUCCCAUGUGACUCAGCGUUCGAGCACCUAAAGACUUCUGCUCCAUUACUAUAAGAUUUUUUCCUCAGAUGUAUCCUGCUGAGCAACUGACUCGCUGGCUUUAGACAAUGUCUCAUAAUCUGAAAGAAAAGAAAAAUGAAUACAUGCAUUUAGGAAUAAGGCUCUGUGAGCAAAGACAGACUCUGAGGACGUCAGCACUUUUACGACCUCAGUGCGGCCAGGCACAAAGGGUCAAGAAUGGCAGACAGUUCACGAAAGACCGUCAUGAGGCUUCAAACCAUAAACCUCUCUCUCUGUGAACCGAAAGGACCCACGAAGCCUGUACCCACACUAAUGACAAUAAAGGAGCAUCCAGUCUGUUAAGCCAAGACAAAAAAAAAGUCACUGCUAACACACGGAUUUCCACUGUCCUGAAAACAUUAUCAGAUUCUAGGCUGUGGCCGCGGCUGUCUCAUUUACCAGUGUAUCUACCGCUUUUCCCAUGUUUCAAGUCUGGCAACAGCGCUGAUGAGAAAUGCCUGUUCCCUGAAGGACGAAGUGCACGGGCGAAGCUCUCCUCACCCACAGAGGCCAGGUUCCUGCAGGUCUCCAGCAUCACGUCUCUGUAGAGCCUCCUCUGAGCAGGGUCCAGCAAAGCCCACUCCUCCAGGGUGAAGUUCACAGCCACGUCUUCAAAGACCACAGAGCCCUAAAACACUCAAAUUUGUGCAGGAAGAUGGGUGAGUCUGUCAGCACUGGGAGGCUGGAUUCAAGUCCCGGGAAGUCCAGACAGGGUCCUGUGGGCCCCAGACACCUGCUCAGAUUCUUCACAACUCACUCCCUAUUUCACAGCACCCCCAACAAUCUGAACUUAACUCAUUUAUCCUGUCUCCUUUUGCCUUACUCCUUUCUACCUGUAGGGCCCAGAAAGAGGGGAUACAUACGAAAUAAACACUUCCAUCUGAAAAAUGUGCAGCGAAAGGGCAACUGAGCAGGCCUCAGUGGGCCAAACCCUGAACUUCAGGACUAACCCUUGACCAGCUCCUGGGAGAAAGCGUGUAAGGCCCUGGAAUACAUUGCCUGAUAAGAACAUCUGUGUGCCUGGGGUCUUGGGCCAUGCCAGAGUUUAUGCCGACGACAUGACUUAUGAUGUAUGCCUGGUUUUUGCCAUCCUAGGUUUUGGGGGAACAUGGUAUCAAACUUCUAGAGAAGCCGGACACUGACAGCUAAGGUCAGUGCAUGGGCACCCCAAUGCCUAUGUGACCAACAAUCAAUAAAAACCCUAGAUUGGCAGUUCUAGGGCUUGGGUGUGCUCCCCUGCUUAGUAUAUUUCAUACAUGUAGCAAAUUAAACUCUGCACAUGCAGUGCAACUUGCACUGAGAGGAUAACAAAGUUUGAGUCUACCUCUCCUUCACAAUUUCUUAUUUUGUGGCCUCACCCACAGCACAUGAAAGUUCCUGGCCCAGAGAUCCAAUGUGAGCCACAGCCACCACCCAAGCCAUAGCUGUGGCAAAGCCAGAUCCUUUAACCCACCACACCAGGCCAGGAUUGAACUUGUACCUCCACAGCAACCUGUGUUUCUGUAGCCAGGUUCUUGAGCCACUGCGCUACAGCAGAGACUCCUCUCCUUCACUAAUUUUAAUAUCUGUCCUUUUCAUAGGAGUUCCCUUGUGGUACAGCAGGUUAAGGAUCUGAUGUUGUCACUGCAGUGGCUUGGGUCACUGCUAUGGUGCAAGUUUAAUCCUUAGCCCGGGAACUUCCACAUGCCACAGGUGGGGCCAAAAAUCAAAAAAGGAAAAAAAAAAAAAAAUCCUGGAGUUCCUGCUGUGGCUCAGGUCAAGGAUCUGGCAUUGUCUCUGCGGUGACUUGAGUUGCUGCUGAGGCUCAGGUUUGAUCCCUAGCCUGGCUUAUGGGUUAAGGAUCAUGGCAUUGCCACAGCUGCAGUGUAGGUCACAUCUAUGGUUUGGAUUCGAUCCCUGGCCAGGGGAACUUCCAUCUGCUAUGGGUGAGGCAAAAAAAAAAAAAAGCCGUGUCCCUGUAAUAAACUGUGUAUAAUCACUAUUCUGAAGUGGUUCCCCCUGAGAGCUCUGUGGUGAAUCCUUACACCUGGGGCUGGUCCUGGACACCCUGACACAGAGGACCAUCAAUUCCUUGCAAUAAGAAGCAGUUCACUAGAGCCAGUUGAAACUGGCAGAGGAAAGAAUCACCGAACUUGAACACUGACAGAUGAUAUGAAUCAAGGUGAAAGAGCCUCAGAGAAAUGUGGGGCUGCAUUUAGUGCACCAACAUCUGACAGCAGCACAAAGACAGGAAAGAGGCCAUGGGACAAACAAUCAAGGCAGCACUGGCUGAAAGCAUGCUAAACUUACUGAAAAUCACCAAACUACGCAGACAGAUGUCAAAGCGAGGCACGAUCAAAGUCAAAGGCAAGGAGAAAAGCUUGAAAGCAGCAAGGAAAACACCUUGUCACCUAAAAAGGAACCACAGUAAGACCACGAGCUGAUUUCUCAGCAGAAACCAUGGAGGUCGAGGUAUGGGAUAACACAGACAAAAUGCUGAGAAAAGGAAAACUAUCAAUGAGGGAUGCACAUCCGGAACGUGAUCUUUCAGAAAUGACAGUGAAAUGAACACACUCCCAAGUAAAAACUAAGAGGAGUUCCUGCUGUGGCGCAAUGGGAUCAGUGGGGUCUCUGGAGCGCUGGGAUGCUGGUUCCAUCCUUAGCCCCUCACAGUGAGCAGGUGGUACCUGUGGCUCGGAUCUGAUCCCUGGUCCAAGAACUGUAUAUGCCAUCCCAUCAAAAAAGAAAAAUAAGAAUAUUUUGGGAGGGAGGUGGUCAAGGGAAGUGCCUUAUAAAUACUAAGGCAAUUCUUCAAACUGAAAGCAACUGUCCCAGAUGGUAAUUCAAAUCCACAUGAAAAAAAAAAAGCAUACCGGUAAAAGUGUUUAUAUAAAUACAUAUCCUCUAUGAUUUAAAAGGCAGUUGUGUAGCAGCUGCCCAGCUAGCUCAGUCGGUAAAGCAUGAGACUCUUAAAAGGCAAUUGUGGGAGUUCCCAUUGUGGCUCUACAAUAACUAACCCGACUAGUAUCCACAAGGAUGUGGGUUUGAUCCCUGGCCUGACUCAGGGGGUUAAGGAUCUGGCACCAUGAGCUGUGGUGUAGGUCACAGGUGUGGCUCCGAUCUGCUGUGGCUAUGGUCCACCCCUAGCCUGGGAUCUACCAUAUGCUGCAGGUGAGGCCCUAAAAAGAAAAAAAAUUUUUUUUAAUUAAAAAUGAGGAGUUGGAGUUCCCAUGGUGGCGCAGUGGUUAACCGACUAGGAACCAUGAGGUUGCGGGUUCGGUCCCUGCCCUUGCUCAGUGGGUUAACGAUCCAGCGUUGCCCUGAGCUGUGGUGUAGGUUGCAGACGCGGCUCAGAUCCCACGUUGCUGUGGCUCUGGCGUAGGCCGGAGGCUACAGCUCCGAUUCGACCCUUAGCCUGGGAACCUCCAUAUGCCGCGGGAGCGGCCCUAGAAAAUGGCAAAAAGACAAGAAAAAAAAAAAAAAA